rnacentral:rRNA from 1 species
UACGAAGGGGGCUAGCGUUGCUCGGAAUCACUGGGCGUAAAGCGCACGUAGGCGGGUUCUUAAGUCAGGGGUGAAAUCCUGGAGCUCAACUCCAGAACUGCCUUUGAUACUGAGGAUCUUGAGUUCGGGAGAGGUGAGUGGAACUGCGAGUGUAGAGGUGAAAUUCGUAGAUAUUCGCAAGAACACCAGUGGCGAAGGCGGCUCACUGGCCCGGAACU